UGCGUAGGCGGAAUAUUAAGUCAGUGGUGAAAUCCUGCAGCUCAACUGUAGAACUGCCAUUGAAACUAUUUUUCUUGAGUAUAGUUGAGGUGGGCGGAAUGUGUCAUGUAGCGGUGAAAUGCUUAGAUAUGACACAGAACACCGAUUGCGUAGGCAGCUCACUAAACUAUUACUGACGCUGAGGUACGAAAGCGUGGGGAGCGAACAGGAUUAGAUACCCUGGUAGUCC
rnacentral:rRNA from 1 species